CUUCGUUUGAGGGUGACUUUGCUCACCGUGGCCUAAAGAGGAGUAAGAGGGUGGGUGCCGAUUCACCGCCGCCGAGCGAAAGGUCAACGCUUCCCGGCCUUUUGGCUGAGAUCCAGUGUAGUGUCGGUCUUGUCAGUUUAACAUCUGACACGUCCUCUAUGCGAGGACGGUAUGUGAAAUGAACUUUUGAAGCUGGGAGAUGGACUGGGAGCCGGCUCCGUCCACUCCGCGCAUCGCCCUGGGAUUGCAGCGCUGCCGGGAGCGGUGCCCCCCUCCGGGGAAUAGGACUGUGGCCUAAAGUCAGCUUCCGCCCUGUAGUCCGCCCUCCCGCCUGCGGCUUCUGCCUUGGUGGCCACCGGGUGCAUCUGGGGUUCAUAGUCGGGCAGUCUCCAGCUUUCCCAUAAGGUUGGGAGCUGUGCUAUGAAGGAAGCCCUUCUGAUUCAACGGCCAGCAAUUUCGGUCCUCGGGAUGCUUGCUCUGCGGGGGAAUCGGGGAGGAGUCGGACUCUUUCCGGUGAUGAACGUACACGGGAUUCCCUCUUUUUCUUGGGCCCUUCCUGAUGGAUGCCAUUUCAAUAGCUGGCUGCUUUAACUAGGUGGGCUUUUUAAAAUUAGAACCUUUACUUACUUUGGAGUGAGGAUCUGACGCGCCCGACCCCCGACCGACCGACGACCGACUGACCGACCGACGGACCACCGACUCAGGCACCCAGGCGCCCUAAAUAGGUGGUCAUUUUUAAGGCGGAAUGUUACCUGCAGGUGACGGACCUCCUCUACCGUAGUUCUUGAUGCCUUCUGCGCACAGGGAGAUGCCUCCCUUCGGGCUUCUUGACAGUCCGCUGGCAGAAGUAGAGAAAGGCCUUAUGGACAAGUGGCUUGGCUGGUAACCACAGUGGAAAUGGACAGUUCCUGCUCACUUGUCCCUCCCGGGUUUUCCACUCACGUUAAAUACAUUUGUUGAGCACCCGCAAUGCAAACA